GGUGGAGCAUGUGGUUUAAUUCGAAGCAACGCGCAGAACCUUACCAACCCUUGACAUGCCUGGACAAUCCGAGAGAUCGGACUUUCCUUCGGGACCAGUGCACAGGUGCUGCAUGGCUGUCGUCAGCUCGUGUCGUGAGAUGUUCGGUUAAGUCCGGCAACGAGCGCAACCCACAUCUUUAGUUGCCAGCAGGUUAAGCUGGGCACUCUAGAGAAACUGCCCGUGAUAAGCGGGAGGAAGGUGUGGAUGACGUCAAGUCCUCAUGGCCCUUACGGGUUGGGCUACACACGUGCUACAAUGGCAGUGACAAUGGGUUAAUCCCAAAAAGCUGUCUCAGUUCGGAUUGGGGUCUGCAACUCGACCCCAUGAAGUCGGAAUCGCUAGUAAUCGCGUAACAGCAUGACGCGGUGAAUACGUUCCCGGGCCUUGUACACACCGC
rnacentral:rRNA from 1 species